UUUUCCGAUUGGACCAUCGCGUCAGAGUUUACUCUGGCGAGGAAAGUCCGAACACCACAGGGCACCGUGCUUCCUAACGGGAAGACCCGCGAAAGCGGUGAUGGCACGUGCAGCAGAAAAUAGACCAGCCGAUGGCGCCAACCGGUUUUACCGGGCGGCGAACAGGUGAUGGGUGAAAUGGUGGAGUAAGAGCCCACCGGCGUCCCGGGUGAUCGGGGCGGCCAGGUAAACCCCACGGGGUGCAAGGUCAAGCAGUACCGCUCGUUUGGUUUGCGCCAGACGAAUAGACGGCCCGUCGAAUAUGCGGUACGGGUAGACUGCUAGAGGCUGACGGUGACGUCAGUCCCAGAUAAAUGAUGGUCUCGUUGGCGAGGUGAUUGCGGACGCCCGCCGAUCAGACAGAAUUCGGCUUACAGAUCGGAAAAACCG
rnacentral:RNase_P_RNA from 1 species